AUGUACAGGAUGCAACUCCUGUCUUGCAUUGCACUAAGUCUUGCACUUGUCACAAACAGUGCACCUACUUCAAGUUCUACAAAGAAAACACAGCUACAACUGGAGCAUUUACUGCUGGAUUUACAGAUGAUUUUGAAUGGAAUUAAUGUAAGUAUAUUUCCUUUCUCACUAAAAUUAUUACAUUUAGUAAUCUAGCUGGAGAUCAUUUCUUAAUAACAAUGCAUUAUACUUUCUUAGAAUUACAAGAAUCCCAAACUCACCAGGAUGCUCACAUUUAAGUUUUACAUGCCCAAGAAGGCCACAGAAUUGAAACAUCUUCAGUGUCUAGAAGAAGAACUCAAACCUCUGGAGGAAGUGCUAAAUUUAGCUCAAAGCAAAAACUUUCACUUAAGACCCAGGGACUUAAUCAGCAAUAUCAAUGUAAUAGUUCUGGAACUAAAGGGAUCUGAAACAACAUUCAUGUGUGAAUAUGCUGAUGAGACAGCAACCAUUGUAGAAUUUCUGAACAGAUGGAUUACCUUUUGUCAAAGCAUCAUCUCAACACUGACUUGAUAAUUAAGUGCUUCCCACUUAAAACAUAUCAGGC
rnacentral:sRNA from 1 species